rnacentral:miRNA from 1 species
UGCUGAGCUAAUUCCCUAACUGCAGCUACGCAGAGCAGUUAAAUUAGCUCAGCAGUA